rnacentral:rRNA from 1 species
GGACCCGACCGCUAUCGGGGUGGGGCUAACCCAUGGAAGUCUAGGAGCCGGGGGACGGCCGGCUCCGGCGGACGGCUCAGUAACACGUGGCUAACCUACCCUCGGGAGGGGGAUAACCCCGGGAAACUGGGGAUAAUCCCCCAUAGGUGUAGACUUCUGGAAUGGGUCUACGCCGAAAGGGCUACGGCACCAUCCCUGCCGUAGCCGCCCGAGGAUGGGGCUGCGGCCUAUCAGGUAGUUGGCGGGGUAACGGCCCGCCAAGCCUAUAACGGGUAGGGGCCGUGAGAGCGGGAGCCCCGAGAUGGGCACUGAGACAAGGGCCCAGGCCCUACGGGGUGCACCAGGGGCGAAACUUCCGCAAUGCGGGAAACCGUGACGGAGUCACCCCGAGUGCCACCCGAUGAGGGUGGCUUUUGCCCGGUCUAAAAAGCCGGGCGAAUAAGCGGGGG